GGCUCCGGUCGUCCAGGGUGCCGCCGCGGAAGGCCUUGCAGGCCUUGACGGACUUCUCGUGCCAGUUCCCGGUGUCCGUGUCGUCGCCGGAGCCGCC
rnacentral:tRNA from 1 species